UGGAUAGGAUCUGAUUGUGCCCUAAGUGGUGU
rnacentral:piRNA from 1 species